UCCAAACAUCUCCCUCCCAUCAAUCCCAGAAUUAUAUGGAAUGCUGGAAUGAUUAGGAACAUACAUAAUUGGUAAGAUCAGGUAGAAAGUUUUUCUCAGUAGGUGAAAAUGGUGCCUCUGCACACAAUCAUGUUUAAAGUCAGUUCUCAUUACAUAUCCUGAGGAAUCACGUAAGUCAGGACCUGCAAUUAACAACCAAAACAAAAUUCUGUCCAGAUGCGGCCCAGAGCCGACUACUGGUGCAGCUGGCAUCCUUAAGCAUGAGAUUCAGUAGGAUGCUGCACCUCUGUCCUCUGUGGGAAGGGAAAUAUACUUUCACAUAGCGAUGCUACGUUCCAGACAUUAUUUUUAUUUGCAUAUCACAUACCAGGCACAGGAAAAGAGAAACGGCUCACAGCAUGAGAUGGGCUGGCUCUGGCUGAACGCCUCUGCCGUGGAAUCAAGUGCACCUGUUUGGAGGCAUAUUUAGCCAAAGGCCAAACUCUACCAUUCAGAGGAAAUUUAUUUAAUCACCUAGCAACCUCACUGUUCUCCCCAGUAGAAUAAACAACCAGAACAAGUACAUUUUGCACUUCCUUGUGGCUGGUUCAGCUCCUGGAUUGUAACAGGUUUUUCUAACUACAGGAAUUUUGGCCAGGUCAAACACAAAUCCUCUAGUGUAAACUCUGCAUUUCCUGAUACAGUGUGCUGUACUAGAAAAAGAAACACAAGAGUUUAUGACAAGCAGUUUCAGAAGAAGAAAAAUACUCCAACAGACAAGUUUUGCAUUCACAAGAUCAACACAUUCGCAAAAAGGUCAUUAAAAUACAAUCCAAAGUAACUGGGAACAAAUUCUACUUCAGACAGCUACAGUGAACAGACUCAAACCAGUAUGUGGUAAGUAGCAUAAUAAGAUGAAGGUAUUUUAUGCAUAUAAUACCAUGAUUUUCAAAUUAUGUAGUGACUUUAAUCUUUAUAAACAAAAUUUCACACAUUUGCAUGUUUGUGUUAAUCUUUAAAAUACAGCACUACAGUAUUGCCCAGCCACAAGAACAGCAGAUGGCAACUGACCACACUGAAAUUCAAGAGCUGUAGCACCAGCUACAGCUCCAUCACCAACAGUGCAACAGCCCAGGCACUUCAGAGGGGUGCAAGAAACCUUUUUGUAUGCAAUUAAUGUCGUAAUUCCAGGCAGCCGUCAUCCACAUGUACCAUAAGAAAGCCUCUUAUCAGGGUGUAUUUGGCAUAGAAGACUUGAUUUACUGCAAUGUAUGCUUCCAGGCUGUACAUACAUGAAUUAGUUAAGUUGGCCUGAGUAUUGCAAAAAAACUUUGCGUGGAAAGCAAGCCACACUGCUGGACACUGUUCAGAUGCAACAGAGACCUCCACUUAGUCCCUCCCACUCUAACUUUUAUGUUACACGUCUUCACUCCAUCUUCCUUCCAGGAAGUAACUAUAUUUAAGAACAGUAACUAAAAUUAAGUUUAUUUUUCCCUGAAAAGAUGAAUGAGAGAGAUCCUUUUUCUAAGAGGACAGGAGGAUACCAAAUCACAUUGUUGUACUUCAUCGGGUACUUCAGGAAAAUGCUGAGUACAGCAAAGAUACUGAGCAGAUUUGCUGUCAGUCACAGGAUGAAUUCAAAGAAUAGAUUUCAACACUGCAGAGCUGUAUCUGGAUUUCUACUCAUGUAAUUUAGAUCAGAAACUCUCCCCUGUCACUCAAUUCAGAGUCACAAUGAAGCACAAGCUGCCUGAUCAGGUGAAGAAUACAGCUGUGUUCCUGGAAAUACAAGUCUCACUGGCAUUGGGGAACAAUGGCCAAGCCUUGGGUGGCCUGGUGAUGGGGAGAGGCAUUAAAGGCUAGACGUCUUCUGUGAUUUCAGAUUAAUUCCAGAUCAUCUUAAUACUCUGCUGCACUUGGGAAACAAAGCACAAACCAAGAAACAAAAUAAAAAGAAAACAACAUUGCUGCUAACAAUCCAGUUUCAUUCCUAAACAACUAAUCUGGAGGUCAGCCCAGGGACCUGACCUGAAUUUCAGUAAAGCUUUAGCAGCAGGAGCACAUUCUGCCAUCAUUUGUGGCUGAAGAGGUUCUUAUCCCUAAUGGAGAAGUUAGAUCUAAUAUGAAAUUGAUUCUUCUUUUUCUCAAUAAUCCAUGUUGCUCAGAUGAGGUUCCUAGCAACAUAUGCAGGGCUAAGAACACUGAAAGUGGUGGAAAGCAUUCGUGAAAUUAACUGUGGUUCCCAUCUUUUGUGCUUUCAUGGAUUAACAAGCAGGCUCAGUCCACAAGGGCUGUGACAUUCUUGAACUCUGCAGUAAGAAGAAAACUGGACUUUGCUUUUCUUCAGUGGAUAGCCUUUUAGUGACACAUCCUGGUUGUCAUCUCUUUCUGUAAAACAAGAGGGGGAGAUU